UCUUCUAACUUUUGAAAUACACAAAAAACACUUUCACUUUUAAUUUCGGUAGACAAACAGUUCUUGGUUUUGUUUCUCCGUCAAUGACAAACAGGACAAAACAGAAAAUACUGAUAUGAAGACCUAAACUAGUAUACGUGGCAAUCAGUUGUCCACAUGUGCAAACAAAAAUUAGUUCCUAGGCCUUGUUACAAAACUACGUCGUUUUUGGAGACCCUCCAUUUUAAACUUGAGCUGGACGCUAUACCUCGGCCACUGACCCCUUAAAACUCGGCCACAAUGUUAACAGCCAUGUCACGUAUAACUAAACCAAGUAAACCGGUAGUAGACACAUUCAAACUAUGCUGAAGCAUAACGGAAAAUCAAAUACAAAAGAGAAAGUUACAAAAGAUCCUCAGUGAAUAUCUCGAACAAUCAAAAUCAUGCGAGCAAGUCCACUUUUACUCAUUAUAUAAGGAAGGCAGAAUGAACAGAAAUGGGUAGAACAGAAAAAUAUACAAAGAGCAAGAUUUAGAUAUUAUUAUUGUACUUGAUAUUCAUCGCACUGACUUGAGCGUCAGAGUACUUUUUGUAGGUACCCACCUCGUCGUGUUCCGUGGAGGUCGACGUAUAAUUCACCUAGAGGAAGACCUAUGUCUAUUGAAGGGCAACAUACCUCAACUAUUACCUUAAGGACGGAAUAUUUGGUGUCCCUCGGGGGGCAGAAAAUACAUCUAACCCCACUGUUAUUGUUUAUCUCCUCCUAUUUUUAUUUUCCUUUUAUAGGUAUUGUCGUGAUGGCCGAAAAUGGAGUUCCACAACUAUUAGAAUCCGAGCUACUAGCUAAAAACCUAGAACUCCAAGCCGAGGUUCAGAGGAUGGCGGAACUCCUAGCUUAACGUCAAAAUGACAAACAGGAGGAAGGAACUCGAAAGAACACAAACAACCUCGACCAGAAAUGGCAAGCACUCCUCGGACACACAUCCCAAGGAGACGACACCUGCAAAGGGAGAACGAUAUCUAAUCCCUUUUCCGAGAAAAUCUUAAAGUUCCAAAUGCCAAAAAACUUCACUUUAUUGACCACUCUCAAGCCAUAUGAGGGGUUGGGUUAUCCCCACAUCCAUGUUACCAAAUUCCAAUCGAUGAUGUUUUUGAAUGGUAAUUUCUGGCUGAAAUUGAGGGACCUGAGCAAAAAUCUGAUUCAGAGGCUGAAAAGGACUGCAGAUGCUGUUGGAUUCUGACCUCCCUACACUCGAAGUAAAUUUUUUGGAGCUACAGAAGCUCAAUUGGCGCGCUCUUAAUUGCGUUGGAAAGUAGACAUCCUGGGCUUUCCAGCAAUGUAUAAUAGUCCAUACUUUACCCGAGAUUUGAUGGCACAAACCGGCGUUGCAAAUCAGCUUCAGAAUUCCCGGCGUUUAACGCUGGAACUGGCACAAAAAUUGGAGUUAAACACCCAAACUGGCACAAAAGCUGGCGUUUAACUCCAGAAAAAGUCUCUACACAUGAAAGCUCCAAUGCUCAGCCCAAGCACACACCAAGUGGACUCCGGAAGUGGAUUUUUAUGUCAUUUACUCAUUUCUGUAUACCCUAGGUUACUAGCUCACUAUUAAUAGGACCUUUUGACAUUGUAUCUCUACCUCAUGACACAUUACACGUUUCUUAUUGUAUCUUCUGUGGCAUGAGUCUCUAAACCCCAUGGUUGGGGGUGAAGAGCUCUGCUGUGUCUUGAUGGAUUAAUGCAAUUACUACUGUUUUUCAAUCAA